rnacentral:rRNA from 1 species
CAGCCAGACUCCUACGGGAGGCAGCAGUGAGGAAUAUUGGUCAAUGGGCGCGAGCCUGAACCAGCCAAGUCGCGUGAGGGAUGACGGUCCUACGGAUUGUAAACCUCUUUUGCCGGGGAGCAAGCGUGCGUUCGUGAACGCACGUCGAGAGUACCCGGAGAAAAAGCAUCGGCUAACUCCGUGCCAGCAGCCGCGGUAAUACGGAGGAUGCGAGCGUUAUCCGGAUUUAUUGGGUUUAAAGGGUGCGCAGGCGGAAUGUCAAGUCAGCGGUAAAAUUUCGGGGCUCAACCCCGUCGUGCCGUUGAAACUGUCGGACUAGAGACGGCGAGAAGUACGCGGAAUGCGCGGUGUAGCGGUGAAAUGCAUAGAUAUCGCGCAGAACUCCGAUUGCGAAGGCAGCGUACCGGCGCCGGACUGACGCUGAGGCACGAAAGCGUGGGUAUCGAACAGGAUUAGAUACCCUAGUA